GGAUGAACGCUGGCGGCGUGCCUAAUACAUGCAAGUCGAGCGAACAGACGAGGAGCUUGCUCCUCUGACGUUAGCGGCGGACGGGUGAGUAACACGUGGAUAACCUACCUAUAAGACUGGGAUAACUUCGGGAAACCGGAGCUAAUACCGGAUAAUAUAUUGAACCGCAUGGUUCAAUAGUGAAAGACGGUUUUGCUGUCACUUAUAGAUGGAUCCGCGCCGCAUUAGCUAGUUGGUAAGGGAACGGCUUACCAAGGCAACGAUGCGUAGCCGACCUGAGAGGGUGAUCGGCCACACUGGAACUGAGACACGGUCCAGACUCCUACGGGAGGCAGCAGUAGGGAAUCUUCCGCAAUGGGCGAAAGCCUGACGGAGCAACGCCGCGUGAGUGAUGAAGGUCUUCGGAUCGUAAAACUCUGUUAUUAGGGAAGAACAAAUGUGUAAGUAACUAUGCACGUCUUGACGGUACCUAAUCAGAAAGCCACGGCUAACUACGUG
rnacentral:rRNA from 1 species